GACCCAGGUAUGUUGAGCGAGAAGGGAUGGGCUGACUUACUCAGAUACCACGCCACAACACUAUAAAGGUGCCUCCUCAAGAUCUGCAGAGCACUUCAGAUUUCAACAUGAAGGCUAUCUUUUUCCUCGCUCUUGCAUCCCUCUUUGUCCUCGGUGCCGUCGAAGCCCAGACUGGGUGUGGCAUCAUCACUGUGUGUGUCGAGGACAGGAUCUGCGCGCUUGAGUGCCCCGGAUGCAAUGGUACCCCAAAUGUGUAUUACCAGUGGCUUCCUCGGCCAGUGCGAAUGUGAUACCAGCUAGGAUGGAAAGCCUUGGGACACGCUCUCUGAAGGUGCCGGUAGACAACGUGAAUGCUUGUUAAACGAAUUUAUCAAGAAUAAAGUUUCUUAUAUAAA